rnacentral:lncRNA from 1 species
ACUCACUUUCUUUAAUGGUGUUAGCUUGGAAGGAUCUAUGGGUUUCUUGUUUCGCUAAUUACUGUUACUUCGGAUCUUUAUCCGUGCGGCAGACCUCUCGAUCCCGUUACUUUUCUCGCCUUUUACCGCUUUCCUAGCUGGAAGACCUCGAUAGGAGGCAAUGUUUUAUGUGUUUACUUUAUGCAUGUUCCUUCGCCUAGGACUCCCUUUCUUGCAUGAG